rnacentral:rRNA from 1 species
GAUGAACGCUGGCGGCGUGCUUAACACAUGCAAGUCGAACGGUGAACCCGGAGCUUGCUCUGUGGGAUCAGUGGCGAACGGGUGAGUAACACGUGAGCAACCUGCCCCUGACUCUGGGAUAAGCGCUGGAAACGGCGUCUAAUACUGGAUAUGUGACGUGACCGCAUGGUCUGCGUUUGGAAAGAUUGUUCGGUUGGGGAUGGGCUCGCGGCCUAACAGCUUGUUGGUGAGGUAAUGGCUCACCAAGGCGUCGAGGGGUAGCCGGCCUGAGAGGGUGACCGGCCACACUGGGACUGAGACACGGCCCAGACGCCUACCGGAGGCAGCAGUGGGGAAUAUUGCACAAUGGGCGCGAGCCUGAUGCAGCAACGCCGCGUGCGGGAUGACGGCCUUCUGGUUAUGAACCUCUUUUAGCAGGGAAGAAGCGAUAGUGACGGUACCUGCAGAAAAAGCGCCGGCUAACUACGUG